AAAUUGAAGAGUUUGAUCAUGGCUCAGAUUGAACGCUGGCGGCAGGCCUAACACAUGCAAGUCGAGCGGUAGCACAGAGAGCUUGCUCUCGGGUGACGAGCGGCGGACGGGUGAGUAAUGUCUGGGAAACUGCCUGAUGGAGGGGGAUAACUACUGGAAACGGUAGCUAAUACCGCAUAACGUCGCAAGACCAAAGUGGGGGACCUUCGGGCCUCAUGCCAUCAGAUGUGCCCAGAUGGGAUUAGCUAGUAGGUGGGGUAACGGCUCACCUAGGCGACGAUCCCUAGCUGGUCUGAGAGGAUGACCAGCCACACUGGAACUGAGACACGGUCCAGACUCCUACGGGAGGCAGCAGUGGGGAAUAUUGCACAAUGGGCGCAAGCCUGAUGCAGCCAUGCCGCGUGUGUGAAGAAGGCCUUCGGGUUGUAAAGCACUUUCAGCGGGGAGGAAGGCGAUAAGGUUAAUAACCUUGUCGAUUGACGUUACCCGCAGAAGAAGCACCGGCUAACUCCGUGCCAGCAGCCGCGGUAAUACGGAGGGUGCAAGCGUUAAUCGGAAUUACUGGGCGUAAAGCGCACGCAGGCGGUCUGUCAAGUCGGAUGUGAAAUCCCCGGGCUCAACCUGGGAACUGCAUUCGAAACUGGCAGGCUAGAGUCUUGUAGAGGGGGGUAGAAUUCCAGGUGUAGCGGUGAAAUGCGUAGAGAUCUGGAGGAAUACCGGUGGCGAAGGCGGCCCCCUGGACAAAGACUGACGCUCAGGUGCGAAAGCGUGGGGAGCAAACAGGAUUAGAUACCCUGGUAGUCCACGCCGUAAACGAUGUCGAUUUGGAGGUUGUGCCCUUGAGGCGUGGCUUCCGGAGCUAACGCGUUAAAUCGACCGCCUGGGGAGUACGGCCGCAAGGUUAAAACUCAAAUGAAUUGACGGGGGCCCGCACAAGCGGUGGAGCAUGUGGUUUAAUUCGAUGCAACGCGAAGAACCUUACCUGGUCUUGACAUCCACAGAACUUUCCAGAGAUGGAUUGGUGCCUUCGGGAACUGUGAGACAGGUGCUGCAUGGCUGUCGUCAGCUCGUGUUGUGAAAUGUUGGGUUAAGUCCCGCAACGAGCGCAACCCUUAUCCUUUGUUGCCAGCGGUCCGGCCGGGAACUCAAAGGAGACUGCCAGUGAUAAACUGGAGGAAGGUGGGGAUGACGUCAAGUCAUCAUGGCCCUUACGACCAGGGCUACACACGUGCUACAAUGGCAUAUACAAAGAGAAGCGACCUCGCGAGAGCAAGCGGACCUCAUAAAGUAUGUCGUAGUCCGGAUUGGAGUCUGCAACUCGACUCCAUGAAGUCGGAAUCGCUAGUAAUCGUAGAUCAGAAUGCUACGGUGAAUACGUUCCCGGGCCUUGUACACACCGCCCGUCACACCAUGGGAGUGGGUUGCAAAAGAAGUAGGUAGCUUAACCUUCGGGAGGGCGCUUACCACUUUGUGAUUCAUGACUGGGGUGAAGUCGUAACAAGGUAACCGUAGGGGAACCUGCGG
rnacentral:rRNA from 1 species